GAUGAACGCUGGCGGCGUGCCUAAUACAUGCAAGUCGAGCGAACAGACGAGGAGCUUGCUCCUCUGACGUUAGCGGCGGACGGGUGAGUAACACGUGGAUAACCUACCUAUAAGACUGGGAUAACUUCGGGAAACCGGAGCUAAUACCGGAUAAUAUAUUGAACCGCAUGGUUCAAUAGUGAAAGACGGUUUUGCUGUCACUUAUAGAUGGAUCCGCGCCGCAUUAGCUAGUUGGUAAGGUAACGGCUUACCAAGGCAACGAUGCGUAGCCGACCUGAGAGGGUGAUCGGCCACACUGGAACUGAGACACGGUCCAGACUCCUACGGGAGGCAGCAGUAGGGAAUCUUCCGCAAUGGGCGAAAGCCUGACGGAGCAACGCCGCGUGAGUGAUGAAGGUCUGCGGAUCGUAAAACUCUGUUAUUAGGGAAGAACAAAUGUGUAAGUAACUAUGCACGUCUUGACGGUACCUAAUCAGAAAGCCACGGCUAACUACGUG
rnacentral:rRNA from 1 species